CCUACGGGAGGCAGCAGUGAGGAAUAUUGGACAAUGGGCGCAAGCCUGAUCCAGCCAUGCCGCGUGCAGGAAGAAGCAUCUAUGGUGUGUAAACUGCUUUUGUACAGGAAGAAACACUCCCUCGUGAGGGAGCUUGACGGUACUGUAAGAAUAAGGACCGGCUAACUCCGUGCCAGCAGCCGCGGUAAUACGGAGGGUCCGAGCGUUAUCCGGAAUCAUUGGGUUUAAAGGGUCCGUAGGCGGUUUAAUAAGUCAGUGGUGAAAUCUGGUCGCUCAACGAUCAAACGGCCAUUGAUACUGUUAGACUUGAAUUAUAAGGAAGUAACUAGAAUAUGUAGUGUAGCGGUGAAAUGCUUAGAUAUUACAUGGAAUACCAAUUGCGAAGGCAGGUUACUACUUAUGGAUUGACGCUGAUGGACGAAAGCGUGGGGAGCGAACAGGAUUAGAUACCCUGGUAGUCCACGCCGUAAACGAUGGAUACUAGCUGUUCGGAGCAAUCUGNGUGNGUAGACGAAGUAGAUAAGUAUACCACCGUCGGGAGGUACGGUUCGUCGAAGAAGUAGAAACGUACGAAGUAAGUAGUAGUACGUCGUAGAGAGACGACGACGACGACGACGGGAGGGAGGAGG
rnacentral:rRNA from 1 species